UAAAACCUGACAAAAUGGGAAAGAGAUGAGAGCCGUGUUCUGCAUGGGAGGGGCACCCCCUGGAGUUGCAUGAGGCGCUGCCCAACAGAGCAAUGAUUGUUCCUGGAAUUACGAGCACACCCAAGCCUGCAGGGUCCGGUUGGUAGGAGAGCUGUUCAGCAGUGUUCCAUCUGUUCCUGGGUGGGGUGCUGGGUUUCUGCCUACAAGCUCCACUCAUCCAUGUGAGGCAGAGUGGUUCCUGCCAACACUCAGCUUUUACACUCCAACUUUGAGGGCUCCCCUGGCAACAAGAAAAUUGAUCUUCCAGAGGAGAGGAGACAUGGCCAAGACCAAACCAGGAGUGGAGGGAAUCUCGGGUUUCCAAGUCAGUCUGAUCUAGAACUGGCAUAUAUUUGGGGGCGGGGAGGGGGGGAAGCUCUGCAGCAAGAUGACCUGGGUUCAAAAUCUUGGGCUUUGCUUCUUAUCAGCUUUGCCACUCAAGUUAAUUACUUAACCUCUUUGUGCCUCGGUUUUCCUAUCUGUUCCAAGUGGAAGUUAAUAUAGGGUUGCUAAGAGGAGUACUGAAUCAAUACACGUGUGCUUUACCAGGCUGGUAGUCAGCAAACUCUUAAGCUAUUACUAUUCUUAUUACUAUUAUUACUAGCUCCUCUUUCAACACCUGUCAGUUUAUAAGGGCUAAAUAAUAAACAAGAGAGAAAAGCCAGAAACACCCUGAAGAUGAAAGGUAAUGUGGGAGUGCCAACUCUACUAGCUAGUAAACCAUAUUAUGAAGCAUCUAUAAUCUUAAAGUUGUGGUACUGGCAUGUGAGUAGACAGACCAAUUCAACAGAAAAGAAAAUUCAGAAAUAGCUGCAGCAGCCCGGUCCCUGGUGGAAUGCCUAAGUCAAAGGAACUUGUUUCUUCAAGCUCUUCUGGUAGCGAUUCUGACAGUGAAGUUGACAAAAAGCUAAAGAGGAAAAAGCAAGUUGCUCCAGAAAAACCAGUAAAGAAGCAAAAAACUGGUGAAACUUCCAGAGCACUGUCAUCCUCCAAGCAGAGCAGCAGCAGCAGAGAUGGUAACAUGUUUCAGAUUGGGAAAACGAGGUAUGUUAGUGUUCCGGACUUUAAAGGGAAAGUCUUAAUUGAUAUUAGAGAAUAUUGGAUGGAUCCAGAAGGUGAAAUGAAACCAGGAAGAAAAGGUAUAUCUUUAAAUCCCGAACAAUGGAGCCAGCUGAAGGAACAGAUUUCUGACAUUGAUGAUGCAGUAAGAAAACUGUAAAAUCAGAGCCAUAUAAAACCUGUACCGUUCUAGUUGUUUUAAUCUGUCUUUUUACAUUGGCUUUUGUUUUCUAAACAUUGUUUUCCAAGCUGUUGUAUUUUUGGAUUGCAGAACAAUUUGUAAGAUGAAUACUUUUUUUAAAUGUGCAUUAUUAAAAAUGUCCUGAGUGAAGCUAAUUGUCAGUUUUAUUAAGGAGGAUUGCUUUUGUGUCCACCACCUAGUGUAAAAUAAAAUCAAGUAAUACAAUCU